AAUGAACGCUGGCGGCAGGCCUAACACAUGCAAGUCGAGCGAGCGGCGGACGGGUGGGUAAUGUAUGGGGACUGCCCAAUAGAGGGGGAUAACUACUGGAAACGGUGGCUAAUACCGCAUACUGUCCGAUACCCCAAAUGGGAUUAGCUAGUAGUUAAGGUAAUGGCUUACCUAGGCGACGAUCCCUAGCUGGUCUGAGAGGAUGAACAACCACACUGGGACUGAGACACGGCCCAGACACAUACGGAGAGAGCAGUGGGGAAGAUAGCACAUUGUGCGAAAGUCCGAGGCAGCCAUGCAGCGAGUCUGAAGAAGGCCCUAGGGUGGUAAAGUACUUUCAGUGGGGAGGCGUUACCGGCGGAAGAAGCACCGGCUACCUCCGUGCCCGCAGCCGCGGUAAUUC
rnacentral:rRNA from 1 species